CGCGGCCUAUCAGCUUGUUGGUGAGGUAACGGCUCACCAAGGCGACGACGGGUAGCUGUUCUGAGAGGAAGAUCAGCCACACUGGGACUGAGACACGGCCCAGACUCCUACGGGAGGCAGCAGUGGGGAAUCUUGCGCAAUGGGCGAAAGCCUGACGCAGCGAUGCCGCGUGCGGGAAGACGGCCUUCGGGUUGUAAACCGCUUUCAGCAGGGACGAAAUUGACGGUACCUGCAGAAGAAGCUCCGGCCAACUACGUGCCAGCAGCCGCGGUAAGACGUAGGGGGCGAGCGUUGUCCGGAAUUAUUGGGCGUAAAGGGCUCCUAGGCGGUUCAGUAAGUCGACUGUGAAAAUCCAAGGCUCAACCUGGGGACGCCAGUCGAUACUGCUGUGACUCGAGUUCGGUAGAGGAGUGUGGAAUUCCUGGUGUGGCGGUGAAAUGCGCAGAUAUCAGGAGGAACACCAACGGCGAAGGCAGCACUCUGGGCCGAUACUGACGCUGAAGAGCGAAAGCGUGGGGAGCAAACAGGAUUAGACACCCUGGUAGUCCACGCCGUAAACGUUGGGCACUAGGUGUGGGGUCUUAUCAACGGAUUCCGUGCCGCAGCUAACGCACUAAGUGCCCCGCCUGGGGAGUACGG
rnacentral:rRNA from 1 species